UUAAAAUUUUCUCUCUCCCAAAACCCGAGAACCUGAAAAAUCAAAAUUCCGCGCCACCAAACUCCUCCCUCCGGAAAUGGCCCUCUCCGCUCCUCCACCACCACCACCUGAUCCUGCUCCGUCGUCGUCCACUACCACCGCCGUUGCCACCACCUCCACCACCACAAGACCUCCAUUUCCCCCUAAUCCCCGAAACCCACCUACUCCUCCUCCUCCUCCUCCGCCUCCUCCUCAUUUCCAUCCCCAUCCACUACACCCUCACCAUUACCCAGCACCUUUUUAUCCCCAGCCGCAUCCCCAUCUAAUAAAUUCCAGACUCCCCGCAAGCCCUAACUCCAAUUAUCCUCCCCCAUCCCAUGACGUCACCACCACAGCUAAUGCCACCACCACUCUCUACCCUGUAGCUUCCUCCGGCAGAGGGUUUCUUCAAAAACAUCCCCAUUCUUCUGUUCCCGUUAAUAAUUCUAUUAACCCUAAUUCUCAUUUGUACGCAGCUGGGGCAGCUCGUCCCGGGGUUGGGAUUUCGUACCCCAGGCCGUUGUUUGGGUACUCUCAUCCGGAUCCAGGUCUGGUUGCGGGCACGGGAAUGGGUAUGGGUAUGGGGUAUGUUAGUGGUAGGUCCAUCCCGCAUUUGCAGCACCCGGCUGGUGGUGGGGCAACUGUCAUGCCGGGUGUGAUUAAAGGUGUCCCAAUUUCUGCUUCUGCUUCUUCACAGCCUCAACACAAGGUCUCCCUUUCAUCUACUCCAGUUUCUGAUAGUAAUGGCCACAAAGAAAUGAGCUUUUGCAGGGAAAGAGGCAGGGAUGAUUCUUUUGUAACUAUUAGAGACAGGAAGGUCCGAGUAUCUGAGAGUGCUUCUCUUUAUGCCCACUGCCGAUCGUGGCUGAGGAAUGGUUUUCCUGAAGAAAGUCAGUGUAUUUUUUUUUUUGAGGUCUAUGGUGGCAUAAUUUAUAAUUUGCUGGCAGCCAAUAAACAUGGAUGCAGCUAGGUCUCUUCCCCGACCUUUGCCAUUACCUGCCCAAGGUAAUGUUUCACCCGUGAAAAAGGACAAUCCUAAGGAAGAAGAGGAGGUAGAAGGAUCUGUGGACAAUUUAACUUCUGAGGAGCUGUUACAAACACAUAUCAAGCGUGCUAAGAGGGUGCGAUCACGAUUAAGAGAAGAAAGACUGCAACGAAUUGCGAGAUACAAAACCAGAUUGGCACUUCUCUUGCCUCUGAUGGUAGAGCAACAAAUGAGAAAUGAUUCAGCCUCUGGGAACUGAAGUGAGCUAUUUGGUCUGACAUCCUCCUAAUCAGAGUUGAGGUUUAGGCCAUUACUAAACAUAAAAGGGAAGUUUGAUAUGGAGGUUUGUUGAAGCAUUAGAACGUCAAUAUGCUUCUGGAUAAUUUUCAUAUUGCUUUGCAUAGAUGAUAUACUAGACUUUCUACAGCCUUGGCCAUGAAACUGAGUGCUUUACUAGAACAUAGGCGGUAAAGGAUGGACAGCUGAUGAGUUCCUUCUCUGCUGUUGUAAAAUUGAGGGUUUUUCGCUAAAAUAUCAGCUAAUUGGUGAUGUAACAUUUACAUUCUUUUUCUCCUCAAAUGUGGUAUGGCGUCUCUCUCGGUAU